rnacentral:rRNA from 1 species
GAAUCUGCCUUCUGGUCGGGGACAACCACUGGAAACGGUGGCUAAUACCGGAUGAGCCGAAGGGUAAAAGAUUAAUUGCCAGAAGAGGAGCUCGCGUCUGAUUAGCUAGUUGGUAGGGUAAAAGCCUACCAAGGCAUCGAUCAGUAGCUGGUCUGAGAGGACGAUCAGCCACACUGGGACUGAGACACGGCCCAGACUUCUACGGGAGGCAGCAGUGGGGAAUUUUCCGCAAUGGGCGAAAGCCUGACGGAGCAAGACCGCGUGAGGGAAGAAGGCUCUUGGGUCGUAAACCUCUUUUGUUAGGGAAGAACACAAUGACGGUACCUGACGAAUCAGCCUCGGCUAACUCCGUGCCAGCAGCCACGGUAAUACGGAGGAGGCAAGCGUUAUCCGGAAUUAUUGGGCGUAAAGCGUCCGCAGGUGGCGAUUCAAGUCUGCGGUCAAAGACUGGGGCUUAACCCUGGAAAGGCCGUGGAAACUGAAGAGCUAGAGUGCAGUAGGGGUAGAGGGAAUUCCCGGUGUAGCGGUGAAAUGCGUAGAGCUCGGGAAGAACAUCGGUGGCGAAAGCGCUCUGCUGGACUGCAACUGACACUCAGGGACGAAAGCUAGGGGAGCG